rnacentral:lncRNA from 1 species
CCCCUAGUCCCACUAGUCUAUCCUCCCAGCCUCUCAGACUGAACCCUCUAGUCCCACUAGACUAUCCUUCCAGCCUCUCAGACUGAAUCUCCUAGUCCCACUAGACUAUCCUUCCAGCCUCUCAGACUGAAUCUCCUAGUCCCACUAGACUAUCCUUCCAGCCUCCCAGACUGAAUCUCCUAGUCCCACUAGACUAUCCUCCCAGCCUCUCAGACUGAAUCUUCUAGUCCCACUAGACUAUCCUUCCAGCCUCCCAGACUGAAUCUCCUAGUCCCACUAGACUAUCCUUCCAGCCUCCCAGACUGAAUCUCCUAGUCCCACUAGACUAUCCUUCCAGCCUCCCAGACUGAAUCUCCUAGUCCCACUAGACUAUCCUUCCAGCCUCUCAGACUGAAUCUCCUAGUCCCACUAGACUAUCCUUCCAGCCUCCCAGACUGAAUCUCCUAGUCCCACUAGACUAUCCUUCCAGCCUCUCAGACUGAAUCUCCUAGUCCCACUAGACUAUCCUUCCAGCCUCCCAGACUGAAUCUCCUAGUCCCACUAGACUAUCCUCCCAGCCUCUCAGACUGAAUCUCCGAGUCUCUCAG